AGAGUUUGAUCCUGGCUCAGGACGAACGCUGGCGGCGUGCUUAACACAUGCAAGUCACGGGGGCUCGCAAGAGCAACCGGCGAACGGGUGCGUAACACGUGAACAACCUGCCUUUGUGUGGGGGAUAGCCGGGCUAACGCCCGGGUAAUACCGCAUACGGUUCUUGAGGGGAGUCCCUUGGGAAAGAAACCUCCGGGGCACAAAGAGGGGUUCGCGGCCUAUCAGCUAGUUGGUGAGGUAAUGGCUCACCAAGGCGACGACGGGUAGCUGGUCUGAGAGGAUGGCCAGCCACAUUGGGACUGAGAAACGGCCCAGACUCCUACGGGAGGCAGCAGUGGGGAAUCUUGCGCAAUGGCCGAAAGGCUGACGCAGCGACGCCGCGUGUGGGAGGACGCCUUUCGGGGUGUAAACCACUGUUGCCCGGGACGAACAGCGCUUUUCGAGGCGCCUGACGGUACCGGGUGAGGAAGCACCGGCUAACUCCGUGCCAGCAGCCGCGGUAAUACGGAGGGUGCGAGCGUUGUCCGGAAUCAUUGGGCGUAAAGGGCGCGUAGGUGGCCUGGUCAGUCGGUGGUGAAAGCGCGGGGCUCAACUCCGCGUCGGCCGUCGAUACUGCUGGGCUGGAUCAC
rnacentral:rRNA from 1 species